CACAGGAAAAAAACUUACAAUGGGCCAAUAGCCCUUAUUAGUCCACAAAGAAAAAAAAUUUGAAUAACAAAACAACUACCAUCCCACCUCAGAAGCCCAAGCCCACCUUUUCCUCAUUACACAUAUAUACCUAGUAGGGUUCCUAAAAAGCCAUCUUGCUCAUUCUCCAAAACAACCCUCAACACCGAAAGAAUGUUGCCAUCUUGGUCUAAUGUUGAGCUUCAUUUUCAACAGUUGUGGAUCAUCAACACCCUUUAUUUUGAAUGUUGUGUUGUUGUUAUGACAACUCUUAAGAGUAAACCUGGAAUGGAGUGCAUGGGUAGCUUCAAUUGACCACCCCAUAAAAUAAAAGACGAGAUAUAAGGUUCUACAAAUUUGAUCUGACCAAAGACCCUUUCAUUUUGCCGAGUUCUUUUUGUUGGCUGAAGUACAUAGGCUAGUUAGCAUUUUACUUAUUUUAAUUCCCUUGAGGCUGUUUGUAUAAAAUUUAGUGAAGAAUAAAACUCUUAGCCUUCCCAACCCAUCACCCUUUGAUUGGUGAUACUCUUAAAUAUGGACAUUGUAGUUUGUCACUGAUGAUUAAUCCUCUUUCUGUUGAUUCCAUGUUGUUAAAGUCUGUAUAACUAUUUUUCUUUAUCUAUUGUUGUAUUAGCUAAAAAAUCUGCUAUUUUAUUUCA